UACGUAGGGUCCGAGCGUUGUCCGGAAUUACUGGGCGUAAAGGGCUCGUAGGCGGCCAACUAAGUCAGACGUGAAAUCCCUAGGCUCAACCUAGGAACUGCGUCGGAUACUGGAUGGCUUGAAUUCGGGAGAGGGAUGCAGAAUUCCAGGUGUAGCGGUGAAAUGCGUAGAUAUCUGGAGGAACACCGGUGGCGAAGGCGGCAUCCUGGACCGGUAUUGACGCUGAGGCGCGAAAGCCAGGGGAGCAAACGGG
rnacentral:rRNA from 1 species